UACGGAGGGAGCUAGCGUUGUUCGGAAUUACUGGGCGUAAAGCGCACGUAGGCGGCUAUUUAAGUCAGAGGUGAAAUCCCGGGGCUCAACCCCGGAACUGCCUUUGAAACUGCAUAGCUAGAAUCUUGGAGAGGCGAGUGGAAUUCCGAGUGUAGAGGUGAAAUUCGUAGAUAUUCGGAAGAACACCAGUGGCGAAGGCGACUCGCUGGACAAGUAUUGACGCUGAGGUGCGAAAGCGUGGGGAGCAAACAGG
rnacentral:rRNA from 1 species